GGGUUUGUGGCUCAGUGGUAGAGCACCCACCUCGCAUGUGUGAGGCACUGGGUGCGAUCCUCAGCACCA
rnacentral:tRNA from 1 species